GUACAUUAGUGCUUGCGCACAACAAUAAUUUCAUUACAUUCGAGUGGGUGUAAAUAUCCUCAACCAGCCAAAGCCAGCAGAGGCCAAUGGUGCACAGGGUAUUGGAUUGAAGUCACCAGCGUGCACUUGCCGGAGCCAGCACUGAAGGCAACAUUCACAAUCAAUAAUGAUCCUUCCGCAGGUUCACCUACGGAAA
rnacentral:misc_RNA from 1 species